GAGAAAUACGUGCAACUGUUAAUGUUGCAAAAACAUUUGCCACACCUUGAGCAUAAAGGUAUAGGAACUGAUAGAUUCAACAGAUUCUCCAACUGGACAUCACUUGUGCGAGCGAUAGCCUUUUUAGAACGUUUCUCCCGUUUACACGGGUCAAAACAGGCAGCACCAGUGACUUCUCCGGAAGGCUUUUUGAAUGCCGAAAAUUUCAUCUUAAUAUCCGCUCAAUAUGAAGUUUAUGGAGAUGAAAUAGAUUGCAUUAAACGUCAGGAACAAAUUCAUAAGCGGAGCCCGAUAGCUAACCUUAAUCCGUUUUUGGACGAACGAGGACUGUUACGAGUAGGAGGCCGUAUUGCCAAAUCUGACUUAAACCUCCGUGAAAAGAAACCAUUAAUCGUCCCUGGACGCCAUCAUAUAGCGAUAUUAUUAGUCCGACAC
rnacentral:lncRNA from 1 species